AGCUUGGUUAGUCCUUCUGACAUUUUCCGAUGACUCUGGUGUGUCUGUAGUGAUUAAACAUGAGAUACAAUUUGGGUUGGCUGUAUUUAACAGGCAUUCGUGGUCUCAUUAAUCUAUUAUUUGUUCCUAGUUUUCUUUAACUUUAUAUAUUUAAUUUAACUUUACCGUAGUACAGCGCUGAAUUUGUAGUUAAUUAUUUUUAAUCACGACAACUUUUUUCUCAAAUGAUCACAUUCAGGCUCAGUCAUUUGGGCAGAGGAGCAGUACUUUCCCCAGUCAUUCAAUGCCACAUGGGACGAGGGCAGACUUCACUGUCAAUCCUGUUUCAAAGAACUGACGACCAUCACCAGCAGAAACGUCCACCUCAUUGUCCAGGACCCCUCUUUCGACUCCUGGGUUGGACUACGCAAGAGUUACAAUGGCUCCUUCCCAUGGGCCAAAUGGUCCAAUGGGGAUCCUGUUAGAUAUCAGAAUUGGUACCCUGGUCAUCCUGUUCCAAACAAAGAAAAGAAACUAAUUCCUAUAUGUUCCUCAACUCCACAAAGUCCACUGAGCACCCUAAUAACUACCCAAAAAUCGACCCCAAUGACCUCAACACAAACCUCCACAGCCACUUCUGCUUCGUUAUCUUCGGUAUCUGCUUCGGAAUUUCAAACAAACAAAGAAAAUAAUACAUGCCCCAUACUUUACAAAAUGCUUUUUUGCUUAAAUAUGUCAUGUGAUAAUCUUGAAAGUUCCAUGACUAUAUGCAAUAGAACACCAACUGCUACCCCUGAGACUACAACAUUAAGCACCACCUUUAAUGCUUCAACAAAUGGCACAACAACUGAGAGCAGCACCACCAGCAACUGUGUCUUUGAACCUGAGCCAGAUCCUGAAGAGUACAUCGAGGAUGCUUGUGUGGUCCUGCUCAGCUUCGGCAUGUGGAAGGAAGAAGACUGCAACAGAAAACUACCUUUCAUCUGUUAUGAAGAGCGCUUUUUUGGCCAGAUAAACAUUUCCGACGUGACCACAAGCACAGGCAAUGUGAGCUGGUCUGAGGGACCCGGUGCUAAGAACAUCAGUCACUACAGAGUGGAGGUCACUGGGGACAAAACCCAGACAUUUAACCAGACUGAACUCUUUCAGAACACAGAGACUCUGACAGCAGGAACUCUGUACAAAGUUCAGGUGUUUCCUGUGAAAUGUGACCGGGAUCUCAAUCCGCAGAAUAUCUCCUUCUACACUUUGCCCUCUGAUGUGCAAAAUCUGACGGUGGUGAGUGUGACAAAUGUUAGCGUCAACCUCAAGUGGAGUAAACCAGAUGGAAACCUUGACUUCUACUCAGUAACAUUCAUAAAUGCAUCGAACACUAAAGAACACAAGUGUAAUAAUGAAGGGUGCACUAUUACGGAUCUUAUUCCAGGAACCGAGUAUGAAUUUACAGUUAAAGCUGUAGUGAAUGAGACGAUUGGAGGUGUGCCGAGCAACGUUUCUGAUUACACCAAGCCUUCAACUGUCAGGAACCUAAGAUCAGCAGACAAUGACAGUACAGUCAUAAUGGUCUUUUGGGAUCCUCCUACUGGCAAUCAUUCAGGUUACCGCUAUUGUCUUAAAGAAGUCAAUAACCGCUUCGAGUGUAAUACUGCAUCAGACAGCAUCAAUACAGCAAACAACAACAUCACAAACAGCACAACAACUUUCAGUAUUACAGACUGCGAAACAGUGGAUGGUACAGAAACAUUUAUCAAAAAGGCUGAUAAAUCAGACGGCAGCAUGUUUUGUCUGUGUGUGGCAGCGCUAACAAAGAGCAACAAUCUGUCAGGAGAAAUGAUUGGAAUCGUAGCAUACACACGCCCGAAAUCUGUGGACCUCACUUUAAUACCUUCCCUUAAAGAUAUGAAAGCCACCUGGAAAAUAGAUGGGAAUUAUGAAAAAUUUGAAGUGACAAUUACAAGUGCUGAUGCAAAGGAUAAUCAGUCAGAUACUACUACAGAAAAGUUUUACACGUUCAGGAAUCUGAAGGCAGGAGUGUUUUACACUGUUUCAGUUGUCACUCUUAAUGGUGACCUAAGAAGUGUACCUGCUAAUAAAUCAGAUUACACCCGUGAGUAAUCAAUACAUUGCCAUCAAAAUCUUUCAGAUCAUUUUUCCAGUAGUUUAAAUCACUGUCUUCAUCAUCUUUCAAGUUCAGCUGUAUAACAUCUCACAAAUUAAUUCACAGGGCCUGCUAAACCUCGUGACCUAAAGGCCACCGCUAACAAAAAUAGCAUACAGCUAAGCUGGAAAGCUCCAACUGAGUCCGAGGGUGCCUUGCUUCAAUAUAUAGUGGAAUAUAACACUUCGUUCUGGGAUGAAACUAAUGAAACAGCUACAACUGAGACAAAUAUCACCUUUCUUAAUUUAAGACCAGGAACAAAAUAUAUGUUUAGUGUCAUGGUCUUGGCUGGAAAUCUGAGUGAUCCAGCCACUACUACUACAAACACAGAGCCUGAAAAGAGGACACUGGUCCUCACGAUGUUGUGUUCCUCUCAAACCACACGUUAUUGUGAUGAACCUAAAACUCGGAAAGAGCUGUU